GACGAACGCUGGCGGCGUGCUUAACACAUGCAAGUCGAACGGAAAGGCCCUGCUUUUGUGGGGUGCUCGAGUGGCGAACGGGUGAGUAACACGUGAGUAACCUGCCCUUGACUUUGGGAUAACUUCAGGAAACUGGGGCUAAUACCGGAUAGGAGCUCCUGCUGCAUGGUGGGGGUUGGAAAGUUUCGGCGGUUGGGGAUGGACUCGCGGCUUAUCAGCUUGUUGGUGGGGUAGUGGCUUACCAAGGCUUUGACGGGUAGCCGGCCUGUGAGGGUGACCGGCGACAUUGGGACUGAGAUACGGCCCAGACUCCUACGGGAGGCAGCAGUGGGGAAUAUUGCAUAAUGGGCGGAAGCCUGAUGCAGCAACGCCGCGUGCGGGAUGACGGCCUUCGGGUUGUAAACCGCUUUCGCCUGUGACGAAGCGUGAGUGACGGUAAUGGGUAAAGAAGCACCGGCUAACUACGUG
rnacentral:rRNA from 1 species